CCCACAUCCUCGACUCCUCAAGUAUGUGUUGGAGUUUUACCGCAUGGAGUUGGUAAAUUUGAACUCCAACUCAAACUCCUUCCUAGUGUUUUUAUCAUCUCAAUGAGAUCUUGCUAGGUCGGAGUCGUCGCUUGAGGACUUUUUGCAUUUCUACCAGGUGUUAAUGUCAUACAGACAACUAAUGAAUCAAGGAGAAAAUGAAAGGGACAUUAUAUUUCUUGCAAGGUGUCGACUAAGCAGAGAUAAAAGCAAGUAGAGGGAUAUAAUCUGGUCCCACAAAAAAGGGAGUGAGAGGAAGACCCAAUAAUAUGAUGGAAUUAGGUUGGUCACAAUGAAAAUAUCAUAGACAGUAUUGCCAACUAGGCAUUUUUGCUAAUGUCACACAUAGUUAAAUGAGAAAGGAGAAGAUUGAGUAUUAUGAUAUGAUAUUGUACUGCUUUUGUAGGGGCUUGAAUUAAAGGUUAUGCUUUAUUGCAAAUUAAUGUUGGCCAGAUAGGUCAUUACAAGCACAACACUCGAACCACAUAUUCCCAUGAUAAAGGACUACCCACAUGAAUUUUAAACUAGACGGGCCGGUCCAGGAGCCACUCAAUUCACCUCACUGAAUAGAGCAGAAAGAAAACCAUAUUUUGCAUUGAAUAAGAUCAUUGCUCGUGCAUUGCAAAGAUAGCAUAAACAUUCUAGUAGCUUAUCCCAUGACUACAAGUCUAUUAUUAUGAUGGUGCGCUCAAAUAUUAGAAAGUUUUUGUAAGGAAUCAUCAUGAUUCAACUGCCAUCUUAUUGCUAAGCACUUACUUGGUAAUAAUUUUUGUAAGAAGUUUUUGUAUGCAAUAAUUAUGAUUCAAGUGUGAUCUUAUUGCUAAUCACUUAUUUGGUAAUAACUAGCAAAAGAGCUCGUGCGUUGUAACGGAAGAGAAAAUAACACACGCUCUGAACGCAAUAUAUUUUCACGUGGCAUCACAUUUGUGUUGCGGACGAUGGCUUUAGUGCUCACACAACGAAAACGUGUUUGAAUAUACAGUCACUCGAAAUAAGAUGAGA
rnacentral:lncRNA from 1 species